GAAUUGGGCUGCCUCUUCUGUUGUUGGUUGCUCAACUCUUAUUUUUUUUUUCUUCUUUUUCUGAGACCCCCGAAGGUUUGUUUCCCAUCCCAACUUCUUUGUGAAGAUUUUCAGAAAACGAUUGUGAAACGAUUGUUGGGAAAAACCAAGAAGAAAAG
rnacentral:ribozyme from 13 species